CACGUAGGGGGCAAGCGUUGUCCGGAUUUACUGGGCGUAAAGAGCGUGUAGGCGGCCAAGCAGGUCCGUUGUGAAAACUGGAGGCUUAACCUCCAGACGUCGACGGGAACCGCGUGGCUAGAGUCCGGAAGAGGAGAGUGGAAUUCCUGGUGUAGCGGUGAAAUGCGCAGAUAUCAGGAAGAACACCAAUGGCGAAGGCAGCUCUCUGGGACGGUACUGACGCUGAGACGCGAAAGCGUGGGGAGCGAACAGG
rnacentral:rRNA from 1 species